rnacentral:rRNA from 1 species
UACGUAGGGGGCAAGCGUUGUCCGGAUUUAUUGGGCGUAAAGAGCGUGUAGGCGGCUAUACAGGUCCGUUGUGAAAACUCGAGGCUCAACCUCGAGACGCCGAUGGAAACCGUAUGGCUAGAGUCCGGAAGAGGAGAGCGGAAUUCCUGGUGUAGCGGUGAAAUGCGCAGAUAUCAGGAAGAACACCCGUGGCGAAGGCGGCUCUCUGGGACGGUACUGACGCUGAGACGCGAAAGCGUGGGGAGCAAACAGG